AGAGUUUGAUCAUGGCUCAGAUUGAACGCUGGCGGCAGGCCUAACACAUGCAAGUCGAGCGGUAGCACAGAGAGCUUGCUCUCGGGUGACGAGCGGCGGACGGGUGAGUAAUGUCUGGGAAACUGCCUGAUGGAGGGGGAUAACUACUGGAAACGGUAGCUAAUACCGCAUAACGUCGCAAGACCAAAGUGGGGGACCUUCGGGCCUCAUGCCAUCAGAUGUGCCCAGAUGGGAUUAGCUGGUAGGUGGGGUAACGGCUCACCUAGGCGACGAUCCCUAGCUGGUCUGAGAGGAUGACCAGCCACACUGGAACUGAGACACGGUCCAGACUCCUACGGGAGGCAGCAGUGGGGAAUAUUGCACAAUGGGCGCAAGCCUGAUGCAGCCAUGCCGCGUGUGUGAAGAAGGCCUUCGGGUUGUAAAGCACUUUCAGCGGGGAGGAAGGCGGUGAGGUUAAUAACCUCACCGAUUGACGUUACCCGCAGAAGAAGCACCGGCUAACUCCGUGCCAGCAGCCGCGGUAAUACGGAGGGUGCAAGCGUUAAUCGGAAUUACUGGGCGUAAAGCGCACGCAGGCGGUCUGUCAAGUCGGAUGUGAAAUCCCCGGGCUCAACCUGGGAACUGCAUUCGAAACUGGCAGGCUAGAGUCUUGUAGAGGGGGGUAGAAUUCCAGGUGUAGCGGUGAAAUGCGUAGAGAUCUGGAGGAAUACCGGUGGCGAAGGCGGCCCCCUGGACAAAGACUGACGCUCAGGUGCGAAAGCGUGGGGAGCAAACAGGAUUAGAUACCCUGGUAGUCCACGCUGUAAACGAUGUCGAUUUGGAGGUUGUGCCCUUGAGGCGUGGCUUCCGGAGCUAACGCGUUAAAUCGACCGCCUGGGGAGUACGGCCGCAAGGUUAAAACUCAAAUGAAUUGACGGGGGCCCGCACAAGCGGUGGAGCAUGUGGUUUAAUUCGAUGCAACGCGAAGAACCUUACCUGGUCUUGACAUCCACAGAACUUUCCAGAGAUGGAUUGGUGCCUUCGGGAACUGUGAGACAGGUGCUGCAUGGCUGUCGUCAGCUCGUGUUGUGAAAUGUUGGGUUAAGUCCCGCAACGAGCGCAACCCUUAUCCUUUGUUGCCAGCGGU
rnacentral:rRNA from 1 species